rnacentral:sRNA from 1 species
CGCUUAAUUUCCGGUCUUGCACCGGAGAGCGGGGGAACCAAGUCUUUGGGGCGAAUCGUCGCAUCUGCGACAUAGGGAACCAUCCAUCCCGAGCCCGUCAGCUAACCUCGUCAGCAGA